GAUGAACGCUGGCGGCGUGCUUAACACAUGCCAGUCGAACGAAGCACCUUGAUUUGAUUCUUCGGAUGAAGAUCUUGGUGACUGAGUGGCGGACGGGUGAGUAACGCGUGGGUAACCUGCCUCAUACAGGGGGAUAACAGUUAGAAAUGACUGCUAAUACCGCAUAAGACCACAGCACCGCAUGGUGCAGGGGUAAAAACUCCGGUGGUAUGAGAUGGACCCGCGUCUGAUUAGGUAGUUGGUGGGGUAACGGCCUACCAAGCCGACGAUCAGUAGCCGACCGGAGAGGGUGCCCGGCCACAUUGGGACUGAGACACGGCCCAAACUCCUACGGGAGGCAGCAGUGGGGAAUAUUGCACAAUGGGGGAAACCCUGAUGCAGCGACGCCGCGUGAGCGAUGAAGUAUUUCGGUAUGUAAAGCUCUAUCAGCAGGGAAGAAAAUGACGGUACCUGACUAAGAAGCACCGGCUAAAUACGUG
rnacentral:rRNA from 1 species